CAGCAGCCGCGGGAAUACGGAGGGUGCAAGCGUUACUCGGAAUCACUGGGCGUAAAGGACGCGUAGGCGGAUUAUCAAGUCUCUUGUGAAAUCUAACGGCUUAACCGUUAAACUGCUUGGGAAACUGAUAAUCUAGAGUAAGGGAGAGGCAGAUGGAAUUCUUGGUGUAGGGGUAAAAUCCGUAGAUAUCAAGAAGAAUACCUAUUGCGAAGGCGAUCUGCUGGAACUUAACUGACGCUGAUGCGUGAAAGCGUGGGGAGCAAACAGGAUUAGAUACCCGCGUAGUCCCUGUCUCUUAUAC
rnacentral:rRNA from 1 species